UUGCACCCCCUGCCUCCCCCUCAGGGUGAGCCUGGCAUUCCUGGAAAGAAGGGGGAUGAUGGGACGCCAAGCCAGCCAGGGCUCCCUGGACCCCCAGGCCCCAAGGGCGAGCCAGGGAACGUGGGGCCUCGAGGAGAAAAUGGUGUGGACGGCGCCCCAGGGCCAAAGGGAGAGCCUGGCCAGCGAGGCGCCGAUGGAGCCUCGGGACUGCGGGGUCCCCAGGGCCUCAAGGGCGAACAAGGAGAUACAGUGGUGAUUGACUACGAUGGCAGGAUCCUGGAUGCCCUCAGGGUAGGUUCCUGGCAGGACCAGGA
rnacentral:lncRNA from 1 species